rnacentral:rRNA from 1 species
UUAUGGCUCAGGACGAACGCUGGCGGCGUGCCUAACACAUGCAAGUCGAGCGAGGAGAUCCUUCGGGAUGAUCCUAGCGGCGGACGGGUGAGUAACACGUGGGCAACCUGCCUCAUAGAGAGGAAUAGCCUUCCGAAAGGGAGACUAAUACCUCAUAACAUUGCAGUUUCGCAUGGAACAGCAAUUAAAGGAGUAAUCCGCUAUGAGAUGGGCCCGCGGCGCAUUAGCUAGUUGGUGAGGUAACGGCUCACCAAGGCGACGAUGCGUAGCCGACCUGAGAGGGUGAUCGGCCACAUUGGGACUGAGACACGGCCCAGACUCCUACGGGAGGCAGCAGUGGGGAAUAUUGCACAAUGGGGGAAACCCUGAUGCAGCCAACGCCGCGUGAGUGAUGGCGGCCUUCGGGUUGUAAAGCUCUGUCUUCAGGGACGAUAAUGACGGUACCUGAGGAGGAAGCCACGGCUAACUACGUGCCAGCAGCUGC